GAACGAACCAUCAAUGUCAAUUUGAUGGCUCAUUUUUGGACUGUCAAAGCGUUCCUGCCUGCAAUGAUUAAAAGAAACGAAGGUCACCUUGUGUCU
rnacentral:ribozyme from 1 species